CGGAUUAUAGGGCGUAAGCGCGCGCAGGUGGUUUCUUAAGUCUGAUGUGAAAGCCCACGGCUCAACCGGGGAGGGGCAUUGGAAACUGGGAGACUUGAGUGCGGAAGAGGAAGGUGGAAUUCCAUGUGUAGCGGUGAAAUGCGUAGAGAUAUGGAGGAACACCAGUGGCGAAGGCGACUUUCUGGUCUGUAACUGACACUGAGGCGCGAAAGCGUGGGGAGCAAACAGGAUUAGAUACCCUGGUAGUCCACGCCGUAAACGAUGAGUGCUAAGUGUUAGAGGGUUUCCGCCCUUUAGUGCUGAACUUAACGCAUUAAGCACUCCGCCUGGGGAGUACGGCCGCAAGGCUGAAACUCAAAGGAAUUGACGGGGGCCCGCACAAGCGGGGGAGCAUGUGGUUUAAUUCGAAGCAACGCGAAAAACCUUACCAGGUCUUGACAUCCUCGGAAAACCCUAAAGAUAGGGGUUCUCCUUCGGGAGCAUAGUGACAGGUGGUGCAUGGUUGUCGUCAGCUCGUGUCGUGAGAUGUUGGGUUAAGUCCCGCAACGAGCGCAACCCUUGAUCUUAGUUGCCAUCA
rnacentral:rRNA from 1 species